AUGGCAGACGACUUCAGCCAAUCCCUCACCCCACCAGUUUCUCCCUUCGCAGCAGACAGCCUAUGUGAGCUGACUCCAGCCAGACCGCCAUGCUUCUGCUGCUCUGGAGCGAAGGAGGACCCCACCGGAGCUCUCUCCACAGAGGGAUACACUGCAAGAGGCUCCCUGAAACGGUUGCUGUUGCGUCUUGACCCGGCCCCUGCGGAGUAUGAGACAGACACAGUGGAGAUCUUUGGUUUCCCCUGGGUAACAGAGACAGCAUUGGUGGAAUCUACAAAGCUACUCUUUGGUCUGUUCAGACAAAAGGUUUACAGGCUGGAGUCCUUGGUGCAGUCCAGCUCACAUGAUUUUGGUCAAGCAGGCAACCUCCACUAUGAAGCAGAGGACCUCAGACAACAGUGUGUUUCAUUUCUUCAGUAUGUCAAAGUCUUCUUGCACAGAUACCUGGAACCUUCCAGCUCCCUGGAUGCAAGUCAUUCACACCCCUAUGAAGAGCUGGAGGCUCAGCUCCCCUCCGCUCUUCUGGAGGAGCUGUUUGGCAUCACUCUCCUCAUAGGACGACUCAAAGACCUGCCUGCCAACGUUCAGGGUGCCUUCACUAUAGCUAAUCCGGGAAAGAUUUUUCCUCCCUCUUGGCAUUUAUUACACCUUCAUCUUGACAUCCACUGGUCAGUCUUGGAGAUCCUUCACGUACUUGGUCACAAGAUGCAAGGCCAGGUGGUGUACGCCCACCAGUUUGUGAACCUGACGGGAGAGAACCUGACCGAUACCAGUCUGUUUGAAGAGCACCUGUGCAGUCUGCUGUGUGACCUAACUGGUCUGGCCAUAGGCAAAUACAGCAAGGUUAGGCCUACAGAGGCACUGAGCAGCCAUCACUACCUUUGCUCAUGCACCAAAGAGCUGUGGGUCCUGCUCAUGCACCUUCUGGAAUACAGGAAUAAAGUGUUGCACACACAGUCUUUCUGGAGCUACAUGAACUUGUUGUUGAGGCCACUGGUUUCAGGGAAGCCAGCAGCAGAGCAGUUCAGUGGCCUCCCCACGCACUGUAAGGACCCUCUGGGAUUCACAUGGUGGCUGGUCACUCAUGUAGCAAUGUUAGGGCAGUACAGUCGUAACGGCACUCUCCAGCACGAGAAACAUCUGGGGAAUAAUUGGACUUUUGUGGAAGAGUUGCUCAAGAUAACCUGUAACCCCAAGGGAGGUCUAGCAGAGGAACAGGUCAGGAUGCACGUCCAAUGCUGUCUCAGUCUCUGUCUGCUGUGGGAGCCGAGCACCAGUGCUGUCUCCACCCUCUGGGACUACUACAGCAAGAAUCUGAGUGCUUCAUUCACUGUACCCUGGCUCGGGAUGUCUGGCAUGGGCACUUUGUGCAAGACGCCCCUGGCUCUGUUCGAGCAGGCCCGCAGCUGCUGCUCCCCCUCUCCCCUCCACUCUCCAGGACAUACCCAGCUCUACCGCUCAGCCAACUCCUUCCACAUCUUCCUUCGAGUGCUGGCCCUGUGCCUCGCCCAGGACAGGGCUGGUGGAGUCCCACAGAGACAGAUCAAAGGAAGGAUUUAUUCCAAGUUCUCCUCAAAGAAGAUGCAGGAGUUACCAGAGGCAGGCCUCAUGAACUUCCUGCUGCUGUUUCUGGUGGUGGCCAGGCAGGUAGAGCUGGAGGAUGUGGCCGGUAGAGCCUGUGAGCUGCUGGGUUUCCUUCCCUCCAACUGCCCCCCUGGGCACCGCACCCUGGUCUGGAGGGGACAGCUGUCACUGCUAUUGUUGUUCCAGGAGAGGGGUCUGGAUGUUGGUGCGCAGGCGAGCUGGCUGGCCUCCUCCUUUAAUGAGACGGCCAAAGAGUUCUACGAUAAGACCACAGAGGUCUCUCGCAGACUUGCCCUCUGGGGGCCCCUCGGCUCGUACCUGGAGGGGGUGGCUGAGGUGUUCGAGACGAGCACCAGCCUCAACCUAUCGGAGGAAAAGCUGCUCAACGAAGGGUUUGAUUGGCUGCUGCGUGCUUGCCGCAUCUCAGAGCUGAAUUCGGCCCUGGGCUUUCUGCAGAUCGUCCUCGCUCAGCUCAGACGGGUCCAUCAGCGCAGUGUCCAGUCAGCACCCACCUCGGCUUGGGCUCCCGGUAACACCAGUGUGGUGAAAGAGCGCCACCUAGCGGUAGCAGCGGCACUCUGGGCGCACUUCUUCCCCUUCCUGCGCAGCCUACGCCUCUCCCAGACCCCUCCAGCACAGCUGGCAGAUGCUGCUGCAGGCUUCACCCUGUUGGCCUUUGAUCUGCCGAGCUCGGCCCCCCAGGACCUUCAGCCCAACCCAGUCCAGUCCAUUAUGCAAUGCUUCGGCUGGGACGACAUGGUUCAACCGCUUCUGAUAACUCGCUACCUUCCCCAUCUGCUCCAAAACAGUGAGCUGGUGGCCUCACUAAGCAGCGGUUCUGCCGGUGUUGUGUCCGGUUCGGCACAGAGCCUGUCAGUGAGGGCCUGGUUCCGCUGUGUUCUACAGCAGCACCCUCAAAAGAACCCAGAUGGCUCUGACAGCAGAACAGGCCGGGAAGUGGAGGAGCAGUUGUGUGAACUGACCCGGCUUGUGCUGAGACUUCCUGAGGUGGACAGUCUACUGCAGAGAGCGGGCCUCCAGCCCACAGCCGCGAGGCUCGAGCCCACUUCAGCCCUGGAGGUUUUUGUCAAGGCCGUGGGCAGCGUGUACAGUGGACUGCAGGUUAUGUCUGAGCGUUCAGCCAUGGUGACCAGAGCCCUGGACUACAUUGGUGACAUCCUGAAACACAUUAAACCCUCUCUGGUCAGCAAGAACCAAGAGAGGCUGCAGCUGGCCUACUGGGCUGUUGGUUGCAUAGUGAAGCACUGGAGCCCCCUGCUGGUCACACCUAAAGCCCAGCAGCUGCUGUUCCGUAUUGUGGACGGGCUGCUGCUUCCCCACCAACUCACACAGCAGGACAAAGCACUCAGGGACAGCCUGCCUCUAUAUUUACAGGGUCUGUCGGUGGCUUCCAGCGUGUCUCAGUCGCAGGGCGCCCACCUGAAGCAGCAGCUCCGCUCUGUUACCCGCAGAUAUCUGGACUAUUUCCUCCCUGCCUCUCCUUCCGUGGGCAUCAUCGCCAACCACCCAGUGCUUCUGAGCGCCUGCGAGGCCAGCCCAACCACCCGAGGAGCGGCGCUGAGGAGGACCAUCUUGGAGGUGCUCUGUGGGAGCUUCCUGCAGUUUAAAGGUCACGCCCCUCCGCCCCGGCUGGCGGCAGUCCUGAUGUUCCUAUUGGAGCUCCUGAGACGAAACAGUGACUCGGACCCCGCCCUCCUCACUCUGCCCCUCCCCUCUCUGCUGCGCUGUGUGAUGCUGGUCAACGAGCCGCAGGUGAGGAAGACGAGCACAGAUGCCUUACAGCUUGUGGUGGAGCGAUGUGCUGCUGCAUCUACACAGGGACCGUGUGACCAGAUGAUCGUUGUCUUACGGUCGUUUGUGGAGGAGAACGAGGGAGUCUACGACAGGCAGGUAUACGGCGUCCUGGAGACGGUGGCUGUUUUAGAUCCCUCCGUGGUUCAAGCUCUCAUUCCCAACCUGUCUGUCAGUCUGAGAAACACCGAACACAAGAGAGGACUGGGGAGGAACAUCGCCUUGAGGAGUGCAUAUAGGAAGUUGCUGUGCCUCCUUGGAGAGAGUGGGCAGGCAGAAAUAACCAGUCUGGAAGCGGACUGAAAAGUGAAAAAAAAAAAAAAGGACCAACUCCAGGACCUGUCGCCAGUUCCAAGAACCACUUUUUUAUGGUGAGAAAAGUGAGGAAUGUGUGCACUGAAGUGAGCACAGACUAUUCGUGCUCAUACCAUCAGGUGCUGGAUCCGUCUCCACUCAGUUGGCACUCUGAAUUACAGAUUUGAUGACAGUCGUGGGCGAGCCCAAAGAGUUCAGCAGCAAAAAAAAAAAAGUAAAGGAGAGGAGUACUGUU